GGUUUUGUUUUUGUCCUCCUAUCCUGCCUCUCCUAUUCUGGGGCCUCCACUGGGGUGGAAGAACGGCAGAGACACUUGGCCACUUCCUGUCUCGCAUGUCUGUCUUCUCGCUGGCGUUUCAGAAGCUCACGUCGUACCCUCUUACGUUUCCCAGACAGCAAGGCCCACUCAUUUCCAAGACCCACUGAAAACAUUCCUAGUUUUCAGUUAUAUACGAAGUAUCACUUCAUUCUACAGAGAGGAGACUGAGGCCGAGAGAAGGUUGACUCUGGCCUGGGAACUAGCCGAGUUGGUUCCCAAACCUAUGCCUUUAGCCUCCCCAUCCUUGCUUCUGAUGACGCUUGAAGAGGGAGUGUGAGGUGACAGGAAACGGGAAACACGGACUGGUUUUGAGGUGUUCCUGUCAGGAAGUCUGAAUGCCCCGUUGACCCACCAAGCUGGACUCUGGGUAAGACUUCUUUCUUUCUUUCUUCCCUUUCUUUCUGGUGUGUGUGUGUGUGCGUGUGCGUGUGCGUGUGCGCGUGCGCGCGCGCGUGUGUGUGUGUGUGUGUGGUGUCUGUGUGUCUCUUUUGUUUUUUUCAAGAUAGGGUUUCUCUGUGUAGCCCUGGCUGUUCUGAACUUACUCUAUAGACUAAAUUGGCCUUGAACUCACAGAGAUCCACCUGCCUCUGCCUCCUGAGUGCAGAGAUUAAAGUCCUACACCACCUCG
rnacentral:lncRNA from 1 species